rnacentral:lncRNA from 1 species
AUGCUUUCCUCCUAUAAAAAGUCUGUUAAAAAGUGCAGACUGCUCUACACCGGACGCUGUACAAGCAUACAAAUAACCACGGUCCCCGCGCCAGCAGAUCGAACAGCUCAGCACAGAUCCAGCCCCGGGGGCUCAUCGUGGGCAGGGAGCACAGCCUUCAAGCCCCAACACCAUCCUGGGCUGACAGCUGCCCUCCUCCCCCCCAGCCACCGCCAAGCCAUCCACGGAGCAACUCUCCAAAUGAUUUUUCUGGAAAACCAAUUAAAGGAGAAGUUACAUCACACAGCAGCCAGCCCAAGCGGCGCUGCGUUGCGCUGAUGAACCCUGCCUGUAUUCUGGGCUCUGCACCACAUUGCUCGCAGCUGCUGCUGCUGCUGCUGCCGUGCUGGAAUUUGCAGCUCGCUAUCUAAAUAUACUGCAACCAAAAACUGAUCAAAGCGGCUAAAUAUUAUUGUCUGCGCUCGGAUGGGCGGCACGGAGCAUGGUCUCCCAGAAAACCUCCGGUUGCUUCGUUUUUUCCCCUGUGCAAAACCACAGACAAACAAAAUCAGGAGGGGGUGGGGGGUGGAAAGAAGCAGAGAAGGAGACUUUCAGUGGGUGUGAAGUCAGCACAGCCCAGGGCUUGGAAGUCAGGAAAUUCCAGUCCCUGCAGCCUGUGGCUCGGGGCACAUGGCAGGGGACAGGACAUGCUGCCUUAUGGGGGACCUUUGGGGCUUGUGUUCCCCUCUGGGUGCUGCCACAUACUACCCUUGUACCUUUAGGUCGUCAUAAAAUGGUGGAAUCAUAGAAUGGUUUGGGUUGGAAGGGACCUGAGAAAUCAUUGAGCUCUGACCCCCUGCUGUGGGCUGGUUGCCACUCACCAGGUCCGGCUGCCCAGGGGCCCAUCCAGCCUGGCCUUGACCACCUCCAGGAAUGGGGCAUCCGCUGUUUCUCUGGGCAACCUAUCAUCACCCAUCAUCACCCAACAAGUGAGGCCACCCCUCAGUAUCCAGGCUGAGCUUCUUUAGGAAGCACAGAGCCUCCCAGACCCUUCCUCUGUGUAGAUGGCAAUAAAUAAAACGAGCCAGGGUGAGUUCA